CUAGCCAUUACUAUUUGGCCCUUGUCAAAGUCACUCAGAUCGUUUCACUUGUUAAUUUUUCCUGCUUCAAACACAUGAAAUUCAAGAACGAACUGCUAACUUGCUGCCUAAUACAUCCCACCCGUUAAUAGAUGCCAUUGUAAUGAUAUAAUCAAUGUUAUUCACUUCACCUUUCAGUGGUUUUAAUGUUGUAGCUGAUAUAUGUAUAUAUUUCUCUUUUCAGUCCUCAAUAUUUCAUUAUUCAGAAGC